AUACGGAGGAUCCGAGCGUUAUCCGGAUUUAUUGGGUUUAAAGGGUGCGCAGGCGGCCAUUUAAGUUAGCGGUUAAAUCGUGGGGCUCAACCCCAUUCUGCCGUUGAUACUGGGUGGCUUGAUUGCGGUCGAGGUUGGCGGAAUUCGUUGUGUAGCGGUGAAAUGCAUAGAUAUGACGAAGAACACCGAUUGCGUAGGCAGCUGACCAGACCGCAAAUGACGCUCAUGCACGAAAGUGCGGGGAUCGAACAGGAUUAGAUACCCUGGUAGUCCGCACAGUAAACGAUGAAUACUUGUUUUCGGCGAUAUAAUGUCGGAGGCAAAGCGAAAGCGAUAAGUAUUCCACCUGGGGAGUACGCCGGCAACGGUGAAACUCAAAUGAAUUGGCGGGG
rnacentral:rRNA from 1 species